rnacentral:rRNA from 1 species
AUUGAACGCUGGCGGCAUGCCUUACACAUGCAAGUCGAACGGUAACAGGUCUUCGGAUGCUGACGAGUGGCGAACGGGUGAGUAAUACAUCGGAACGUGCCUAGUAGUGGGGGAUAACUACUCGAAAGAGUGGCUAAUACCGCAUGAGAUCUACGGAUGAAAGCAGGGGAGCGCAAGACCUUGUGCUACUAGAGCGGCCGAUGGCAGAUUAGGUAGUUGGUGGGAUAAAAGCUUACCAAGCCGACGAUCUGUAGCUGGUCUGAGAGGACGAUCAGCCACACUAGGACUGAGACACGGCCCAGACUCCUACGGGAGGCAGCAGUGGGGAAUUUUGGACAAUGGGCGAAAGCCUGAUCCAGCAAUGCCGCGUGCAGGAUGAAGGCCUUCGGGUUGUAAACUGCUUUUGUACGGAACGAAAAGCCCCGGGUUAAUACCCUGGGGUCAUGACGGUACCGUAAGAAUAAGCACCGGCUAACUACGUGCCAGCCGCCGCAGUAA